GAUGAACGCUGGCGGCGUGCCUAAUACAUGCAAGUCGAGCGAACAGACGAGGAGCUUGCUCCUCUGACGUUAGCGGCGGACGGGUGAGUAACACGUGGAUAACCUACCUAUAAGACUGGGAUAACUUCGGGAAACCGGAGCUAAUACCGGAUAAUAUAUUGAACCGCAUGGUUCAAUAGUGAAAGACGGUUUUGCUGUCACUUAUAGAUGGAUCCGGGCGGCAUUAGCUAGUUGGUAAGGUAACGGCUUACCAAGGCAACGAUGCGUAGCCGACCUGAGAGGGUGAUCGGCCACACGGGAACUGAGACACGGUCCAGACUCCUACGGGAGGCAGCAGUAGGGAAUCGUCCGCAAUGGGCGAAAGCUUGACGGAGCAGCGCCGCGUGAGUGAUGAAGGUCUUCGGAUCGUAAAACUCUGUUAUUAGGGAAGAACAAAUGUGUAAGUAACUAUGCACGUCUUGACGGUACCUAAUCAGAAAGCCACGGCUAACUACGUG
rnacentral:rRNA from 1 species